rnacentral:lncRNA from 1 species
UUCUUUUUCAUUUGUAUGGUUUUUAAAUUGUGUUUAACAGUAGAACUGUGUCAUUCUACAGCUUCUUCUUGCUUCUGAGGAAAGCUCCAGAGGCUUUGUCUAGACAAAAGCAAAAGAUUUGCGCUGUGAAGGGAGAGAUUCAAAGGACUGAAGUUGACACUAAACACCUACAGAGAGAAUAACUGGAAUAUUUUUGGACCAUCUAAUUAAGCAGAAGGGGAGCCCACCAAAUGUUGAGGAAUCAAUCUGAUAAUGGGAAGAAUUUGCAUUAAAAGGUGCCUGAGUGCCAUAGUGGCAGUGAAACUGCAUAUGAAAUUCAUGGCAAUUUAACAGGUGAGCUCUAACUACUUGUG